rnacentral:rRNA from 1 species
CCUACGGGAGGCUGCAGUGAGGAAUAUUGGUCAAUGGGCGGGAGCCUGAACCAGCCAAGUCGCGUGAGGGAAGACGGUCCUAUGGAUUGUAAACCUCUUUAGGCGGGGAGCAAUGCCGGGCACGCGUGCCCGGAGGGAGAGUACCCGCAGAAUAAGCAUCGGCGAACUCCGUGCCAGCAGCCGCGGUAAUACGGAGGAUGCGAGCGUUAUCCGGAUUGAUUGGGUUUAAAGGGUGCGUAGGCGGAUUUUUAAGUCAGCGGUAAAAUGUCCGGGCUCAACCCGGGCCGGCCGUUGAAACUGGGGAUCUUGAGUGGGCGAGAAGUAUGCGGAAUGCGUGGUGUAGCGGUGAAAUGCAUAGAUAUCACGCAGAACUCCGAUUGCGAAGGCAGCAUACCGGCGCCCGACUGACGCUGAGGAACGAAAGCGUGGGGAUCGAACAGGAUUAGAUACCCCGGUAGUC